UUUGAUCCUGGCUCAGGACGAACGCUGGCGGCGUGCCUAACACAUGCAAGUUGAGCGAAGUGCUUACAACUGAUCCUUUCGGGGUGACGAUGUAAGUAUCUUAGCAGCAAACGGGUGAGUAACGCGUAAGAAACCUGCCAUUCACAGGGGGAUAGCCUCGGGAAACCGGGAUUAAUACCCCAUGACACUGAACUAUUACAUGAUGGAUCAGUUAAAGCGUAAAGCGGUGAAUGAUGGUCUUGCGUCCCAUUAGCUAGUUGGUGAGAUAAAAGCUCACCAAGGUAACGAUGGGUAGCCGGCCUGAGAGGGUGAUCGGCCACACUGGAACUGAGAACGGUCCAGACUCCUACGGGAGGCAGCAGUGGGGAAUAUUGCACAAUGGAGGAAACUCUGAUGCAGCGACGCCGCGUGAAUGAUGAAGGCUUUCGAGUCGUAAAAUUCUGUCCUUGGGGAAGAUAAUGACGGUACCCAAGGAGGAAGCUCCGGCUAACUACGUGCCAGCAGCCGCGGUAAUACGUAGGGAGCGAGCGUUGUCCGGAUUUAUUGGGUUUAAAGGGUGCGUAGGCGGCCAUUUAAGUCAGCGGUGAAAUUUUGCAGCUUAACUGUAACAGUGCCGUUAAUACUGUUUGGCUAGGAUUUGGUUGUAGUGUGCGGAAUGUGUGGUGUAGCGGUGAAAUGCUUAGAUAUCACACAGAACACCGAUUGCGAAGGCAGCACACUAAGUCAUUAUUGACGCUGAGGCACGAAAGUGUGGGGAUCAAACAGGAUUAGAUACCCUGGUAGUCCACACUGUAAACGAUAAAAGUCGCUGUCGGCGAUACACAGUCGGUGGCCAAGCGAAAGCAUUAAUUUAUCCCACCUGGGGAGUACGACCGCAAGGUUGAAACUCAAAGGAAUUGACGGGGGCCCGCACAAGCGGAGGAACAUGUGGUUUAAUUCGAUGAUACGCGAGGAACCUUACCCGGGCUCGAACGGUGCAUGAAUAUACGAGAGAUUGUAUAGUCCUUCGGGACAUGUAUCGAGGUGCUGCAUGGUUGUCGUCAGCUCGUGCCGUGAGGUGUCGGCUUAAGUGCCAUAACGAGCGCAACCCUUGUCAUUAGUUGCCAUCAGGUCAAGCUGGGGACUUUAAUGAGACUGCCACCGUAAGGUGUGAGGAAGGGGGGGAUGACGUCAAAUCAGCACGGCCCUUAUGUCCGGGGCGACACACGUGUUACAAUGGGAGGUACAGAGGGCAGCUAUCCGGUGACGGAAUGCUAAUCUCCAAAACCUUUCUCAGUUCGGAUUGGAGUCUGCAACUCGACUCCAUGAAGGUGGAUUCGCUAGUAAUCGCGCAUCAGCCAUGGCGCGGUGAAUACGUUCCCGGGCCUUG
rnacentral:rRNA from 1 species